CAGCAUUGGCAAGUGACCCAUUUGUCUCCUUCUUGACCAACUGGACGUCGAGCAGUGCAAAAGUAAAUCCCGCCUAAAGCUGGGAGAGUCAUGGUGUGGGCUACUCCUGCAUGCAGGUGGGUACAAAU